GCCUUCAUGGUGUAGUGGUCAGCACGCUCGAUGAGUAAACGAGAGGUCCGUGGUUCGAAUCCCGGCGAAGGCG
rnacentral:tRNA from 1 species